GGAACUCAAAGACAUUGACAGCUAUCUUAUGGGCAGAAAUCCAGCAGCAUGUGUCCCAGGGGAAUUUCUUUGUGGAAAAGAACAGCAAACAGCAAUGCGGAUGAAUAAAUGAGUCUGUUCAACCAGCACAGAC
rnacentral:lncRNA from 11 species